rnacentral:lncRNA from 1 species
CGGCCCAAUCCCGUACCGCCCAAUUGCACAGUGCCUUACAAGCCGUCCCGCGGGCUGGACGCGAAAGGAGUGCAGCAGGACGCUUCUCGGCGCUGCAGGCUGCUCCACUACAUACCUAAGUGCACAUAAUGAAGAUACAUGAACAUAUGAGGCAUCUACUAUUGGAGCUUAACAAAAUUUUACAUAUAUUGAUCUUGUUCUUGAAGUUUAGUUUUUUUUUGAAGUUCAUGAAGUCUGUCUAUUUUUUCUAUUACAAGUUCUUGUUUUAGAUGAGAACUGAUCACAACAAAACUGGUUACUGUCCCGACAUACGACAUGAAGUCUUACAACUGGUUACUGACCGAUUCAAAACUGCUUACUCUUGAAGACAGUUAGACAGAUACACUC